rnacentral:rRNA from 1 species
AGGUAACCUGCCUGGUAGCGGGGGAUAACUAUUGGAAACGAUAGCUAAUACCGCAUAAUAGUAGAUGUUGCAUGACAUUUGCUUAAAAGGUGCAAUUGCAUCACUACCAGAUGGACCUGCGUUGUAUUAGCUAGUUGGUGGGGUAACGGCUCACCAAGGCAACGAUACAUAGCCGACCUGAGAGGGUGAUCGGCCACACUGGGACUGAGACACGGCCCAGACUCCUACGGGAGGCAGCAGUAGGGAAUCUUCGGCAAUGGACGGAAGUCUGACCGAGCAACGCCGCGUGAGUGAAGAAGGUUUUCGGAUCGUAAAGCUCUGUUGUAAGAGAAGAACGAGUGUGAGAGUGGAAAGUUCACACUGUGACGGUAUCUUACCAGAAAGGGACGGCUAACUACGUGCCAGCAGCCGCGGUAAU